GGGCUCACACAAGCGGUGGAGCAUGUGGCUUAAUUCGAAGCAACGCGAAGAACCUUAUCCAGGGUUUGACAUCCCGGAUUAAACCGUCGAAAGACGGUCUACACCCUUUGGGUGGAACGGUGACAGGUGCUGCAUGGCUGUCGUCAGCUCGUGCUGUGAAGUGUCGGGUUAAGUCCCUCAACGAGCGCAACCCUUAUCGUUAGUUGCUAACAGGUAAUGCUGAGGACUCUAGCGAGACUGCCGGUGUCAAACCGGAGGAAGGUGGGGAUGACGUCAAGUCCUCAUGGCCUUUAUGCCCUGGGCUGCACACGUGCUACAAUGGUAGGUACAGAACGAUGCAAGACCGCGAGGUGGAGCAAAUCGCUAAAACCUGCCCCAGUUCGGAUUGGAGGCUGCAACUCGCCUCCAUGAAGUCGGAAUCGCUAGUAA
rnacentral:rRNA from 1 species